rnacentral:ncRNA from 1 species
UGACUCUGGAGAGUGGUAGCUAUUACCCACCGAAGGUGAAAGGUUGAUGAAUUUAACUGGUAUAAAAACUAGGCUAAAACGCUAUCAGCUCGAUCUCUCAGGUAACCGGACAGAGGGG